AAUAAAUUUCACAUUUAAGGCAUUUUUUUCGCGCCGUAAAUAAGCAAUAAACUUCCCGCCAAAACUUUUUCACUCCCCACCGAAAACUUUCACUUCCUGGAUUAUUUUUUAUUUUUAUUUGUUUAUUUUUUGUUUUUUUGUUAUAUCGAACAGCUAUAUAUACCAGAAAAAAAAAAAAAGAAAAAAAAGAAGAACUUAGGGAUUCAGAGUGUGGAAAGAGAGAGACCCGAAUCUUUCAUCUAUCGAUUUUAACCGUGUUGAUGCCAGUAAUUUGAGAAAGAAAGCUUGAUUUCCUAAAGUCGUCUUUCUCAGAUUGGGCUCCCGACGGUGUCGAUCAUUCCGUUACCGACCAGUGAAGAGGUUAGGGUUUUCAACUAGCGACCAAAAAUUGAAGUUGAGGAGAGCCACCAUGGACGACGUCUCCGAGGAAGGAAAAAAGUAGCCUUGGUGGGUGUUGCUGUAUUUAUUGGCCUGAACUAGCUUUUGCUACAAGAAGGGAGAACCAACCCCUUCAUUAAGUGCCAGGUUGCUAGAAAAAAUAAUUAAGCAAAUAGUGAUGGAUAAAGAAUGGAUGCACAUGACUUACAGGUUAUUGAUUGAUUAUCACCAGUUCAUAAGGAGCUGAAGAAUCAGAAUUUCUAUGAUUUCAGUCUACAACAAAGGUCAAAUACUAUGCUUCUUUUAUGAUUGCACAAUUUUAAUGCUUUUUAGACUCAUACUUAGGGGGGUCACGUGCGUUUAAGUGACCAAUUUUGCAGUGUAUCUUGAACUUUAUUACCUCAUUGGUACAUCGGCUGGUGUGGAGGCCAUUUUUAUUUCUUAUUUUAAAAUGUUGAAGGCAUGGGAGUAUGGAAUCAUCGUAUGUGGAGGUUUUGAUUGAUUGUUGUGGAGGAGAAGUUGUUGAUAUGUUGUUAAUUCACUUGUUUUGGUAGAUUAUUUGUAAUCACCUUGGCAAUUCACAGAUCAUCAUGUCAGCCUUGUCCCUAGGAAAAAAUAAAAAUUCACCUCCUUCAUCUCUCUCGAACCCACAAUGCUCAAGAAACUCAAUGCCUUCUUUCAAUUUCCCAACUCUUUCCUGUUAUUUAGAACACAAAUUAAUCCGUUAGUUUGUUAUGAAACAGAAAAUUCCAUUAAUUUGGCAGAACUUCGUAAACUUAGUAAAGAGUCACUGCUUGGUGCAACAGUAAAUAUUAAACAAUCACUUGCCCAAAAGUCCCAGAAGCAAUUGAUUGUCCAUCAUGAAUAAUGAACAAGCCAGGAGCUAGAUUAGCUUAAAUGGAUCCUCAAAUUUAUCAAUCUAAGAGAGCAAACUGUUUACAAACUCUACAUCAAUUAUGAUGGUUUGAGGAAAAAGCUAGGGAUGAUGGUUAGCAGUUAUAUACUUAUUCCUUUAUAUGUAUGGGUCAACGAUUGGUGCAUGGUAACGCUAUGUAGGUUUGACUCAGAGCUGUUACUGAUUAAAACAAGAUAAUGAAGGGAUUAGUCAGGUGGGGUAGUUUAUCUUUACGUGUGUGUAGUUAUAUCUACACAUAUAAUAGAAAAACCCAUUAGAUUUUCUAGAAAUUAAAGAUUUUAUUGGUAUCCAGAGGCAGCACAAGAGGAAAGGGUCAUUUAAACGGUGCAUCUUAUGUGUUGAAAAUGUAGACGAAGGGACAUUUUUGUCAAAUUUUUUAUGUGCAUGCUAACAGUAACUCAACGAUUGAGCUUUUAGGAUAAAAUAAAUCAAUUAUUGGGUCUUUUGGAUGUAAAAAUAUUUUUCAGGGUUUUAGCAUUUAAAAAAAUUAAACAAAUAGAAACAUUUUGCGAUAUUUUUUCCAAGAAAGGAAACUACUUUUUAUUGAUAAUGGUAAUUGUAUGCAGUACACAUGCAUAUAUAUGUCUAUAUCUAUGCAUUAUUUUAGAAUUUUAGUGACCCUCCCUGUUCUUUCCGUUGAAGGAAUAUUGGAUUCACCAUUGAAUUGAGGCACAAUGUCGGGGGCAUAUUAUAGAUCCAUCCAUCCAUCCAUCCCUCUAUCUUCUUUUUCUUUUGCUAUAUUUUGGAACUCCAAAAUACAUUGUCAACUAAGAGUUGGCCAAAUGGUCAGAAAAAAAGUUGGAGAAAAUUCGCGUCUAGUACCAACCUUAGAUUUCCCACCUACUGGAUAUUUGAACCUUUCAGAGGGCAGAUUAUUUCUGCAUCAUUUAUAUCAACAAAAUCUAUAAAAUUAGAGACUUACCUUGAAGGCUGGAUUAUAUAGUCGGAUCUUCCAAAAUUUUUCCUCUUUAGGAUUAUUUGCAACAUUUCUGACAUAUAUCAAAAGAGUUUGGAAUGCCCUCUUCGCUUUCACAUCAUCAUCCUAGAUCCAACAAAAAAAGAGGGAGGGGGCUCAUAGAAAGUAAUACGUAUAUAAAACAAAGUUGCAAAAUAAUAAAGGAUGUUGCACGUUUACUUUGAAUCAAAAGCACCUUUCUGUUAAUGAUCAUUGUCCUAUUCUGAGUGAUUUUAUCCUAACACCCUCUAAAAUAGGAUUUUCUGUAUAUGCAUAAACUUAAAUUUAUUCAUAGAAAUGAACACCCAUUUAAUUUCUAACAAGCAUGCCAGAUGAGCAAUGAAGGUAAAAUGUUCAUAACAAAAGUUAUAAGAAGGUUGUACAGUUACAACAAAAGUAACCUCUCCCUGAGAAGUACAAGCAUUAUAUACUGCAAUGAGAAAAAGGUUCAAUAUUCAGAAAACUUACGACUACCUCUUUAUCAUUCUAUAUCAGUUUAUGCUAUUAUGUCACUGUAGCAACAACAAGCAGUCUAUAUUCGUUUAUAUUUUCAGACUCAUGAUUAUCCUACUACAAGCUACCAUGACAUGACACAAAACAGAAUCAUUUACCAUGUGGUUGUGCUUGAGAGAUCUUAAACAGUCUCUCAUGAGCUCUGCUUUUGUAGCAAUAGAAGGCAACGUAGCAGACCAAACUGGCACCGAGUUCUGCAAAAUGGGAGAACACUUAUAACAAUUCAAGUUCUAUCGGACUGCUGUAAUCUUUGAAUAAAUAAAUAUGAUAUCAAAUAUCCAAACCUUUUCUUCCUGCAUUAUAGGUGUGGUAGAUUUUAAAGCUGCAGGACCUUCUGGAGGCAACCCAAGUCUCCCCCUUCUUUCAGCCUGUGAAGAUAAGCAUACUACUCUGGGGUCAUCUAAGAAUUCUAGGGAUACAUCAAGUCACAUGUAUUAAAAUAAUGAAUUUAGACAUGAAUAUAAUACUGUAUAUGCCUAUUAUAUUUUGAAAGUUCAUUGGGACAAGCUAUCAAAAGAGAGAUUAUAGGGCCCUAACUGUCUGUUUCAAAGCAAAUUAACUUGACUUCUUGCAUGUCAUUAAGGACCUGCAUGGACUACACUCUCUGUAAAAUAGAAAUAUGUCUCGGAUAAACAUAUUACAAUACGUACAUACUUCAUAUGCUUCUAGUUGCCUGUAUAACUCAAGAAUAUUUGAUUUCCUCUCUAGUUAGUUCACCCAAGACAAACUUAGCAGCAAAUUUGGUUUUGAUAGUCCUGCCACGUCCGCACUCAUAAAAGUAUAUAUAUAUACUGUGAGACAUAGUAUGGCCAAAUAAGUUUAUGAUAAACUCGCCAUAAAGGUGCACACAUAUACACAGUAUAUUUAUAUGCAAGUGAAAAAAAAAAAGAAAAAAGAAAAAAAAAAGACAAUGCAUGUAUUAAGGUCGAAUAUCUUAGUUCCCCAGUAGCUUUCAGAUUCGUGGGCCAGAUGUAGUUAGCUUUAAUUAUGGUUACAAAGCAAAGCUCAUUUAAAGUUGAAUGAUUAAGGACAAUAAGUUGUGCAAUAUACUUACCAUUUGCGCCCCAUCCACACGUAAUAAACAAUCUAAAGUUGAAAGCAACCCCAGCUACCUUGUCAAUUAAUUAGCCGUUUUGUCUAUCAAAUACUACAACAACUAUCAUUUCCACCAUGCAUGUUUGUCCCCACAACAACAACAUAACCUAGCUUAAUUCUUUAUUGUAUAACGUCCAUAUGUCAUCUUGUGGUUGGAUAGUGAAUUAUAUAUUGUGGAAGUGAAGCAACAACAAUAAAAUUUCGGUCUUACUUGAUAACUCAAUCCAGUACUUAACGAUGAAUGAAUUAAACGAUUAUGUAACAAUUACUUGUGGUCUAUACAACUCAUUCCACCUACCUUCUUUACAAAGCAAUUCACCCCACAAUAUAUAAUGUAAAUAUAUAAACAUACCUUACAUAUUCAACAAAUGUACUCUCAUGGAUGAUGCCUAUAAUAAGAGCUCUUCCAAUUUGAUGCCUAAAACGCACACCUAAUAUGUAUUUCUUAGAAUGGUUUAGAAUUAGAAUUGAAGUAAACCUACAAAAUUACUGUUGUAAGAGACAUUGUAUUGAUCAUUGCAACUAAAUGCUAAAGUACAUGCGACAACUACAUACAUAAGACUAAUGACAAAAGAAAAGGGAAAUUCUAAAUUAUAGAGGAAGAGUUCUUGCCAAUUUGAUACAGAAUUAGAUACGUGCCCGGGUCUAAUGUUACUGAAACCCUCUGAACCACACCAGCAGUUCAUAUUAAAAAAAACUCCCCCUCUUGCAAUUCAUCCGGAAUUACAAGGAUUAAUUAUCAUCUUUUGCAAUACUUAAGCAUUUCCCAUAAAAUACUGUAUCAACUUCUGCUCUAGAUCACAUCUCUGCCCAGUAAUUUCAAUUUCUUGAAGACAAAUAGACAGACAACAAGGCACCACUUCUGGUUCAACAAAUUUGAAAUCCCUGGAAUCAUUAUGUUGCCACUGCUACAAACAAAAAUUAAAAGUUCAAAUUCCAUUAAAUGAUGAAGCUGCUCCAAAAUGGGUCCUACAACAAUUAACUCCAACAAGAAUGUUUCAUAUUUGCUCAUAAUCGUAGCACCAAAAACCUAUAAUGUUUCAGAAUGUUUUAGAUUUGCUUAUAAUCAUGAGAUAAAGAGACUACAUAUUAUGAUAUUGUAGUGUUCAUGAUUAUAAAGAGAUUAUGAUAUUAUCUGUUCUCAUACAUCCUUGCAAAAAUCUAGUAUUUAAUUAAGGAAAAUUAUCUGCUUGAAAUAUUUUUGGCAGAUCUAAGGAAGAAAUUCUUAGCAAAAUGUUUGUGUUUGAUUCAUAAAUGAUAAUUUUGUUAUUUCCCUUUUGUAUUAA